rnacentral:rRNA from 1 species
UACGUAGGGGGCAAGCGUUGUCCGGAAUCAUUGGGCGUAAAGCGUGCGCAGGCGGUUCGUUAAGUCAGAUGUGAAAGCCCCGGGCUCAACCUGGGAACUGCAUUUGAAACUGGCGGGCUUGAGUGUGGCAGAGGGGGGUGGAAUUCCGCGUGUAGCAGUGAAAUGCGUAGAGAUGCGGAGGAACACCGAUGGCGAAGGCAGCCCCCUGGGCCAACACUGACGCUCAGGCACGAAAGCGUGGGGAGCAAACAGG